AAUGAGCGAUUAUUCCAAGUUUUAUUAUGCGCACCAUUUCCAAGAGACUAAAUGGUCAAAGGAUCAAAAUAAAAAAUAAAAUUAAAUGGAUAAAUUAAAAAAGAAAAAGGCUAGAAUUAGGACCAAAAUAAAACAUGCGUAAAGGAGGAGGGACUAACUGGGAAAUUAUUCCCUCUCUCAAAACGUGUCAUUCCUUAAAGGGACCAAAUUGAAACAAAAUCAAAAUCAUAGGGUAGAAAUUAAAAAAAAAGGAUUGGAUUAAAAAAUAAUAAAAAAGCAG
rnacentral:lncRNA from 1 species